rnacentral:misc_RNA from 1 species
UGAAUACUGAGGAUCAAGAAAGGGUUCAACUGGGAGUUCUUAGGGAAGACAUUCAAACGCCUGCUUUUUUAGAGACAAAGGAACUGGCUUCUAUUAAUCUGUGGAUGAAUAGUGCUCCUUCUAGAUCAAGUACUCACUAUGAUCCACACCAUAAUGUUCUAUGCAUAGUUGCUGGUUGCAAACAAGUUGUCUUGUGGCCCCCUUCUGCAAGUCCAUCUUUAUACCCAAAGCCUAUAUACGGUGAAGCCUCGAACCACAGUUCUGUUGCUUUAGAAAACCCUGAUUUCUCAUUGUAUCCAAGAGCAG